AGUUCAAGGCGGCAUUAUAUACUAGCAGUCGAGCGACUGAUUAGAAGCUUGCUUCUAUGACGUUAGCGGCGGACGGGUGAGUAACACGUGGGCAACCUGCCUGUAAGACUGGGAUAACUUCGGGAAACCGAAGCUAAUACCGGAUAGGAUCUUCUCCUUCAUGGGAGAUGAUUGAAAGAUGGUUUCGGCUAUCACUUACAGAUGGGCCCGCGGUGCAUUAGCUAGUUGGUGAGGUAACGGCUCACCAAGGCAACGAUGCAUAGCCGACCUGAGAGGGUGAUCGGCCACACUGGGACUGAGACACGGCCCAGACUCCUACGGGAGGCAGCAGUAGGGAAUCUUCCGCAAUGGACGAAAGUCUGACGGAGCAACGCCGCGUGAGUGAUGAAGGCUUUCGGGUCGUAAAACUCUGUUGUUAGGGAAGAACAAGUACAAGAGUAACUGCUUGUACCUUGACGGUACCUAACCAGAAAGCCACGGCUAACUACGUGCCAGCAGCCGCGGUAAUACGUAGGUGGCAAGCGUUAUCCGGAAUUAUUGGGCGUAAAGCGCGCGCAGGCGGUUUCUUAAGUCUGAUGUGAAAGCCCACGGCUCAACCGUGGAGGGUCAUUGGAAACUGGGGAACUUGAGUGCAGAAGAGAAAAGCGGAAUUCCACGUGUAGCGGUGAAAUGCGUAGAGAUGUGGAGGAACACCAGUGGCGAAGGCGGCUUUUUGGUCUG
rnacentral:rRNA from 2 species